rnacentral:rRNA from 1 species
CGCCGGGUAGCUACACUGAUUCGGGAUAACCGCUGAAAGCAUCUAAGCGGGAAGCCCAUCCCAAGAUGAGGAAUCCCAUUAAGAUCCCUGGGAGACUACCAGGUGAUAGGCAGCCGGUGUAAGUGCCGUAAGGCAUUUAGCCUAGCUGUACUAAUCGAUCGAUCGAAA